rnacentral:rRNA from 1 species
GACAGAGGGUGCGAACGUUGUUCGGAAUUACUGGGCGUAAAGCGCGUGUAGGCUGUUCGGAAAGUCGGGUGUGAAAGCCCUGGGCUCAACCUAGGAAGUGCACUCGAAACUCCCGAACUGGAGUCCCGGAGAGGAAGGCGGAAUUCUCGGUGUAGAGGUGAAAUUCGUAGAUAUCGAGAGGACCAUCGCUGGCGAACGCGGCCUUCUGGACGGCGCCUGACGCUGAGACGCGGAAGCGUGGGGAGCAAACAGG